AGUGAACGCUGGCGGUAGGCCUAACACAUGCAAGUCGAACGGCAGCACAGUAAGAGCUUGCUCUUACGGGUGGCGAGUGGCGGACGGGUGAGGAAUACAUCGGAAUCUACUUUUUCGUGGGGGAUAACGUAGGGAAACUUACGCUAAUACCGCAUACGACCUACGGGUGAAAGCAGGGGAUCUUCGGACCUUGCGCGAUUGAAUGAGCCGAUGUCGGAUUAGCUAGUUGGCGGGGUAAAGGCCCACCAAGGCGACGAUCCGUAGCUGGUCUGAGAGGAUGACCAGCCACACUGGAACUGAGACACGGUCCAGCCUCCUACGGGAGGCAGCAGUGGGGAAUAUUGGACAAUGGGCGCAAGCCUGAUCCAGCCAUACCGCGUGGGUGAAGAAGGCCUUCGGGUUGUAAAGCCCUUUUGUUGGGAAAGAAAAGCAGCAGGUUAAUACCCCGCUGUUCUGACGGUACCCAAAGAAUAAGCACCGGCUAACUUCGUG
rnacentral:rRNA from 1 species